UACGUAGGGAGCAAGCGUUGUCCGGAAUCAUUGGGCGUAAAGCGCGCGUAGGUGGCUUCAUAAGUCCGUUGUGAAAGUCAAAGGCUCAACCUUUGAAAGCCGAUGGAUACUGUGGAGCUAGAGUACGGAAGAGGCGAGUGGAAUUCCUGGUGUAGCGGUGGAAUGCGCAGAUAUCAGGAGGAACACCAAUAGCGAAGGCAGCUCGCUGGGACGGUACUGACGCUGAGACGCGAAAGCGUGGGGAGCGAACAGG
rnacentral:rRNA from 1 species